GUUAGUGGUGUCUCAGUGGUUAAAGGUUCUGGGUUACUGAUCCGAAGGUUAUGAGUUCAAACCCCAGCACUACCA